GUGGCAGAAGGUUUUAGGUCAAAAGGCCUAAAAUCCAUUUAACGCCUGGAUGGACAUCAGAAUUAGGUGACCAAUGAAUCAUGUGAAAGUCAAGGAGAUGAAAAAAGGCCUAGAGGAGGUAUUGGAACCCAAGUUUGCUGAAUGAUAGACUGAGAGAAGCAUGGAUGGCAUGUGAUUCAUCUAAUCCGUGAACUUCUAAAAAGAGCUGAUUUGGGAUUCUGGCCAAGUGGAGGAGUGAAGUUGCCAGGCACUUCCAUCUGGACUGCUGGCCAGGUUAUGCUGCUUGUCUGACCACUGGAUAUGGAGAGAAGAACCAGUAGCACUGACUUUUAGCAGGGUGUGGAGAAUUCCAGACAACCCCUCAUCCUAC